rnacentral:tRNA from 1 species
UAGAUGGAAGCUCGUUGGUUAGAGCGCUUAGCUGUUAACUAAGAGUUUGUAGGUUCGAGGCCUUCCCAUCUAG